UAUAAUUUGUCCGAAGAAACCUUAUGGAUGUGCAAAGGAUUUAGCUAUCGUUGUUCACGGUUCUUGUCACUUGUAGAGUUGGACAACCCGAUGACAAGGAUAGUUGCUGCUUGGGGGAGUUGCUGUUAAUUUCUUUCUCAGAAUUUUACUUGGUGCAUCUGUCUGAAAUGGUGAAUAAUAACUGUAAAAAGAAGAAUACGGGUCAGAAACAGUGUUGAAGUAAAAUGUUUGAUUUGUCAUAGAAGUUGGAUAGAAAGGAGGAGAGUAUUCCCAGUUGUUCCAGUAGUAGGAGGAAUAGUUGUAUUGUUGCGGUUGGUGAUCCGGCUGGAAUCCAUCAGAGUAAUUGAAGUUUGAUUGAAGACUAACGACCUCGUCUGGAGAGCUGGGAACAAUCCAUUCCGAUUGAAGUGGUGAUAUCGAAGAUGGCUCGGAUGUCGAGUAGUUGAUUGUUUCUGCGGAUGGAACUGCCGAAUGAUCCGAAUAGAAUCCAGGAGUCGGAAGGACUUGAGAUGAGACGGACUAACCUUGUCGACUUUGACGAGAAACGUAUGGCGGUGAUCGACGAUGUUGGCGAUUUGUUUCGCGAGUUGAGGUCGGGACUCGUGAAGAUCCAAGUUGGCGGGCUCGUCGACGGCGAUUCUGAAACCACCACUGAUGCAAUCAAGAAAGAAAUUAAUUUGAGAGACGCCAAUCAACUGGGCGAUGCGUCGGCGAUCUUCUCGAUUUGGAAACGGAUCUCUGUUGAACUCUGCGUCGAGUAGCUCCAGCUGGACCUCGUCGUAAAAGUGGCGCUGACGACCGGAUGCUGAAGAAGACUUCGUGGUGGAAACAACGGGAUAAUAAUCUGAAAGUAAAAAUUAACAUUAAAAUAUUUCCUUCGUAAAUAAGUGAUUUGAGUGAAGAAAGAAAGUAAAUUACCGUAACUAUCCAUAGUUAAAGAGUCAACGAUACAAAU